UGGAUUCCACAUCUUCAUAUGGUUUUGAAUUCAACUUAUGGAUUAAAUGUAGAGAAAAUCAUUUUGAGAUAUCUUUUAAUGAAAAUGAAGAGUUCAUCACCUUCGAACAUCGACCUCCUUAUUCCAAAAUCACUCACAUAUACCUUGGAGGAGAUUGCACCUUCAAACUAGUACGCGCUUACAUGGAACAGCAGACUUCUGAGGAAAUGAUUAUUCGGCAUCCCGUUUGAGUUCAACUUUAUGGAUCGAGAUGGAAAUAUUCAUUUACAUUUCAAUCCAAGAAUGUCCGAAAAAGAGAUUGUCCGAAACGAUUAUGAUGCCUCCACUGGAUAUUUUGUAUCCGAUAAUGCACAGCUGCACCUGAAUAUGCCGUUUCCAUUUCAUAACAAUAGCUCUUUCGUGGUAAGAUUCGUGCUUAACUUAUAGCUCUAUAAUAACACAAGGACUUAAGAAGAUAAAAACAUGCAAAGCCGUUCAUUUACUAUUUUAAUAUGACUCACUUUAAAUAAAUCUGAUACAUAA